UGAUGCACCCACGGCCCUGGGAAAGGGGUUAAUGCUCUCUAGAGGCUUCUUUGACCCAGUCUCCUGACACCCCAAGAAAGUUCUGAACUUGUCCCAUGUGCGCCUGCCUUCACUGGGAUGCCUUCAGUGCCUUCAGUGAGAUGGCUAUGAUCCCUGGAAGACCCAGCUCAGACAUACAGGUCUUCAAGGAAGUUACUUCUUCAAGACCACCCCGUGGGGAGGAGCCCUCUCAGAGCCAGACUUGGGGGAGACUCAUGGCACAGACCCCAGACCCUCAUGGACAGCAGCCUACUUUUUCUGGGCAGGUUCUCCUUCCUCUGUGCUGAGGCCUGUUCCACUCAGACUACUAAGCCCGAAGGCAGGCUCUGUGAGCCAGAUAACAGUCAGCGAUUAAUAGCAAAGGCGCAAUACUAAUAAACAUAAAUAAAUACAGUAUGAAGAGGAGCCUAAGGGUCAACGUUUGCCAAACCACUCCAUGACUGAAAAAUCCUUUGUAAAAUUAAUAUUCACUGAUUACAAAAUCAGUUUGGGCUUGAUGGUUUCUAAGACCCUUGCCAACUCUAUGCUUCUGGGUCUAUGAAGCUCUCCUAAGGAAAAGAUAUGAGCUUGUGAAUAAAAAUAAAAAUAAAAAUAAAAGGAAAUAAAACCCCA